AGCGUGCUUGGCGCCUGCGCUGGACGACUCGGCCGGUAGUGGAGAUGUCCGGCCGGUCUAAGCGGGAGUCUCGCGGUUCCACUCGCGGGAAGCGAGAGUCUGAGUCGCGGGGCAGCUCCGGUCGCGUCAAGCGGGAGCGAGAUCGGGAGCGGGAGCCUGAGGCGGCGAGCUCCCGGGGCAGCCCUGUGCGCGUGAAGCGGGAGGUCGAGCCGGCGAGCGCGCGCGAGGCCCCGGCUUCUGUUGUCCCGUUUGUGCGGGUGAAGCGGGAGCGCGAGGUCGAUGAGGACUCGGAGCCUGAGCGGGAGCAAAGAAUGGCCGAGUGGAUUCUGAGGACCGGAGGAGCCGCCACUGCCCGUACCUGGACACCAUUAACAGGAGUGUGCUGGACUUUGACUUUGAGAAACUGUGUUCUAUCUCCCUCUCACACAUCAAUGCUUAUGCCUGUCUGGUGUGUGGCAAGUACUUUCAAGCUUUUCACCCUUCCCUACAGGCCGGGGUUUGAAGUCUCACGCCUACAUUCACAGUGUCCAGUUUAGCCACCAUGUUUUCCUCAACCUCCACACCCUCAAGUUUUACUGCCUGCCAGACAACUAUGAGAUCAUCGAUUCCUCAUUGGAGGAUAU
rnacentral:sRNA from 1 species